AUCCUUCUGGUUCUUACACAGGAUGAGUGGGUGGUCAUGCAGUUGCAUGAAAUGUGUCUUCCCUUAUGUUACGACCUGACACAAUUACCCUUCUGAUU